rfam:Pan troglodytes isolate Yerkes chimp pedigree #C0471 (Clint) chromosome 5, whole genome shotgun sequence.
GCCGGGCGCGAUGGCUCAUGCCUGUAAUCCCAGCAUUUUGGGAGGCCGAGGUGGGUGGAUCACCUGAGGUCAGGAGUUCAAGACCUGCUUGGCCAACAUGGUGAAACCCCAUCUCUA